AUUCUUCUUUGCUUCCAAAUUUUGUCUAGCAAUCUUUUGCCAUGAUUUCUAAGUAGUUUUAGUUCAGCCUUAUGUAUGACUUUUAUUGACAUGUGUUUCUUUCUUUCUAUUGCAAAACCUUAGUAGUAAUGAUCAUGUGUCCUCAAUAUUACUAAAUCAAAAGAUAUGUCAUUACUUUUGUACUCUUCCAGUUUCGUGCUUUAGCAGAUCAGCUAUAUGGUGAUCCUGACCUCCAUACAUUUGUAAGAGAACAGGUUAUUGAACAGGGAAGGUGAAUGGGGUGAUCAUGUCACAUUGCAGGCUGCCGCAGAUCGGUUUGGUGUCAAGAUAUUUUUGAUUACUUCCUUUAAGGAUACUUGUUACAUUGAGAUUCUUCCCCACAUUCAAAAGUCCAAAAGAGUUCUUAUGUUAAGCUUUUGGGCAGAGACCCAUUACAAUUCAAUUAAUCCAGAAGCAGGUAAACAUCUAUAUAAUUAUAAACUUCAUAACUCAACAUAUGCUGAGCUUUAUGGUUAGAUAACCCACCUUAGGAUCCAUUCUAUUAGUGGACUUAAAAGU